UAGGGAAUCUUCCACAAUGGACGAAAGUCUGAUGGAGCAACGCCGCGUGAGUGAUGAAGGUUUUCGGAUCGUAAAACUCUGUUGUAAGGGAAGAACACGUACGAGAGGAAAUGCUCGUACCUUGACGGUACCUUACGAGAAAGCCACGGCUAACUACGUGCCAGCAGCCGCGGUAAUACGUAGGUGGCAAGCGUUGUCCGGAAUUAUUGGGCGUAAAGCGCGCGCAGGCGGCCUUUUAAGUCUGAUGUGAAAGCCCCCGGCUCAACCGGGGAGGGCCAUUGGAAACUGGAAGGCUUGAGUACAGAAGAGAAGAGUGGAAUUCCACGUGUAGCGGUGAAAUGCGUAGAGAUGUGGAGGAACACCAGUGGCGAAGGCGACUCUUUGGUCUGUAACUGACGCUGAGGCGCGAAAGCGUGGGGAGCAAACAGG
rnacentral:rRNA from 2 species